rnacentral:lncRNA from 1 species
GGUAUUUCUGCUGCUAUUUUCAGUGAAGUCUAUUUAAUUGCCUACUCUUUGCUAGUAGGAAGAAACAAAGUUGGGUUUUGUACAUUUUCUUUUCUGACUUACGCUCUGGCUAAAGUGAAUGAUUGGGUACAGUGGUCAGAUUUUCUACCUAGCUGACGAUGCUGAAUGAAGAUAACGAUAGACUUCCUCUCACCCUGAGCCUUCUGUUCCUUGUGCUUCUGAUGCAGUAACUGGGACCUUGGGAAGAUGGGCCAGAGCAGCGGGGGACAGCAUCCCUGCAGCUUGCCUGAUAGUGGAGGAUUUGAUUGUUACAGAAAUGUGUUAUUACUGAACUUGGUAAAAAGUAUGUCAUGUAUAAACCGAGAUGGUUACCUUUUUUAAAAGACUUACUUAAGUUUAUAAGUACGAGUGUUUUACCCACAUGUGUAUCUGUGUACGACAUGAGGCCAGAAGAGUGUCUGUGACCCCCUGAAACUGGAGUUACUUGGUUGUCAGUUGACACGAGAGUGCUGGGAACUGAACUUGGGUCCUCUGGAAGAGGAGCAAGCACCCUUAAUCACUGAGCCUUCCCUGCAGCCUUAACUUCUAUUUUGUCUAUAGUCAGCCGAGGUAUUUAUUGGCAGUUAACCUCGUGACCCAGUAGAUGGUCCCAUACACAUUCACACAGGGUCAGCACUGAUUGGACUCCGGAAGCUAUUAGUUAUAGGAAUUCAUCAGGGAGGUGGGUUGGUGGGGAAUGGAAGAGUUCAAAGGAAAUAAUAGAGGAGUGUACAUGCGUAAAAUUGUCAAAGAAUAAAUAAAAAUAACAAUAUUGUACGGGAGAGAGGGUUCAGCGCUUAAGAGCAAUGGCUGCUCUCCCAAAGGAACAAUCAUCUGUGAUCCAGUUCCAGGGGAUCCGGUGCCCUCUUCUGCCCUCCAAGGGGGCCAGGCAUGCAUGUGGUCCACAGACACACACGCAGGCAAAAUGUUCAUACACAUAAAAUGAAAUAAAUGAUAGAACAAAGACCAUUAAAAAUAAGUGUGCCGA